GACGAACGCUGGCGGCGUGCUUAACACAUGCAAGUCGAGCGGUACGGCCCUUUCGGGGGUACACGAGCGGCGAACGGGUGAGUAACACGUGGGUGACCUGCCCUCAGCUCUGGGAUAAGCCUGGGAAACUGGGUCUAAUACCGGAUAUGACUCCAUGACGCAUGUUGUGGGGUGGAAAGCCUUGUGCGGCUGAGGAUGGGCCCGCGGCCUAUCAGCUUGUUGGUGGGGUGANGGCCUACCAAGGCGACGACGGGUAGCCGGCCUGAGAGGGCGACCGGCCACACUGGGACCGAGACACGGCCCAGACCUCCGUAC
rnacentral:rRNA from 1 species